CGUCACUUCAAAUUCCCAGGAGUUAUGACCGUUUCAUCUCCAAUACCGCUACACAUCUUUUCAGAAAUCAAAAGUCUGAAAUAGAUCUCCUCAGUAAUUAGGAUUCAUAUACUGAUCCAAGCGCAACUUCUACUUGUGGAGAUGGGUCGCUUCAAGAAUUACGGCCAUGCUCUCGGGCCUGUGAGCUUGAAGUACUUUUAAAUGGCAUCAAGAAUUGAUCUUCAGGUUUCCAAAGAUUUGUUGUAAGGACCUCGAGGAGAAUAUAAGAUUUAUCUAAAAUGGCUGAGCAAACGAAGCAGGAAUUGCUAACCAAAUGAAGGAUGCGUCCAAAUAGUUUGUCUUUCAAGAACCAGUUAUUUGGAAACACGUGUAAGGAUAGGUACAUAGUUCUCUUUUUUUUUUUUUUCCUAAACCAAUAUACUGGAAAAAAAAAUAGAGUCCUUUUUCCUGUGUGACUACGAUGCCUAGAGGAUAAUUUCACUUUUCUAAUGAGGCUUUGUUGCAUAUGGUGGUGUAGAAGUGAUCUCAGUAGUGAUGCCAUAAGAAAAUGAUGGUUGCCAUCGUAUGUAUGAACUCGAUGAUUUCUUGUAGCAAAUUGAAUUUUUCAAUCAACAACCUAACUUUUUCCCAGAGUUGUUAUGUGCCAUGAUGUUAAUAUGAGCUAUAAAAAUGAAUUCCCUUAAAAUUAUUUA